rnacentral:rRNA from 1 species
AUUGAACGCUGGCGGCAGGCCUAACACAUGCAAGUCGAGCGGAUGAAGGGAGCUUGCUCCUGGAUUCAGCGGCGGACGGGUGAGUAAUGCCUAGGAAUCUGCCUGGUAGUGGGGGAUAACGUCCGGAAACGGGCGCUAAUACCGCAUACGUCCUGAGGGAGAAAGUGGGGGAUCUUCGGACCUCACGCUAUUAGAUGAGCCUAGGCCGGAUUAGCUAGUUGGUGGGGUAAAGGCCUACCAAGGCGACGAUCCGUAACUGGUCUGAGAGGAUGAUCAGUCACACUGGAACUGAGACACGGUCCAGACUCCUACGGGAGGCAGCAGUGGGGAAUAUUGGACAAUGGGCGAAAGCCUGAUCCAGCCAUGCCGCGUGUGUGAAGAAGGUCUUCGGAUUGUAAAGCACUUUAAGUUGGGAGGAAGGGCAGUAAGUUAAUACCUUGCUGUUUUGACGUUACCAACAGAAUAAGCACCGGCUAACUUCGUG